CAGUUGCCAGAGCCUUCUCCAGAAGGAAGGGAAAGGCGAAGGAACAGAUGCGAAGGUGACAAGCCAACGACAGGAGAGCUAAGUUACAGGAAAAAGACGCAGGAGUUUCUACAAAGUUGGUUCUCAGUACCUAGGCAACAGCAAACUAAAUGUGGAAGCUUUCCAUGUAAGGUGCUGGGGGAGAAGGCAUCGCCACAAGGGCAACCAGAUGGAAGGAAGAGAACAUGGCAGCAAAAAGAAAUGGAAAAUGAAAAUGACAUUAAAA